GGGGUUGUGGCUCAGUGGGGGAGCUCUUGCCUAGCAUGCAUGAGGUGCUUGGUUUGAUCCCCAGCACCACA
rnacentral:tRNA from 1 species